GCCCGAGGGAGAGACGCGAGAAAGAACACGGGCCUUGGUGCGGCACACAUCACGUCUGGAUCCCAGCUCUGUGGCCUGUAAGCUGUGUGUUGUCCCGCCAGUCACUCAACCUCUCUGAGCAGGAGUUUCCUAACCUGCAAAAUGGAAGUCCCACCACCACGUAAAGAAGCCCAAGCAAUUCUGCUGGAAAGGUCACGCGGAGGAAAACCAAACAUCUCUGCUAGCAGCCAACACUAACCACCACACAUGGGAGUGGGGGCCAUCUUGGAUGUUGCAGUCCAGCCGAGCUCCCGGCCAGGGCGCAGCCAUGCGUUUUUAAAAUAUUGCAGGGUCCCUUAAUGCCAUGAUCAAAGGCAACAUCCCCGGAAUGGGGCAAAUCGACAGUGGAUACCGUCUAUCAGAUCAGGACACAUUGGGAAGCAUGAACCGCAUUUCUGCCGUGAUCCAGCUGAACGGACCCAACCUGAAUGCGAUCACAAUGAAACAUCUGACAAACCCAGACUAAGGGACAGUCUAGAAAACAACAGACCUGUCCUCUGAAAAAAUGUCAAUAUCUUGAAAGGCAAAGAAAGACCAAGGAAAUGUUCUAGAUUAUAAGAAGCUAAAGAGACAUGACAGCUGAAUGCCAUCUGUGACCCAGAAGUUCCUUUUGUUUAUAAAGGACGCUGUAAGGACAGAUGGUGAGAUGUGUGUAAAGUAUGUAGAUUAGAUAAAAAGACUAUCAGUGCAGGGGCGCCUGGGGGGCUCAGUUGGUUAAGCGUCCGACUUC